ACGCACGCUGGCGGCGUGCUUCACACCUGCAAGUCGCACGGGCCUUGUCCCCUUUUUUUUGGGGGUGGGGUUAGUGGCGAACGGGUGAGUAACACGUGAGUAACCUGCCCCUCCCUUCUGGAUAACCGCUUGAAAGGGUGGCUAAUACGGGGUGUUCUGGCCUGCUCGCAUGGGUGGGUUUGGAAAGAUUCGACCGGUUUUGGUUGUUUUGGUGGGGGAUGGGCUCGCGGCCUAUCAGCUUGUUGGUGGGGUGAUGGCCUGCCAAGGCUUUGACGGGUAGCCGGCCUGAGAGGGUGGGCGGUCACACUGGGACUGAGACACGGCCCAGACUCCUACGGGAGGCAGCAGUGGGGAAUAUUGCACAAUGGGCGCAAGCCUGAUGCAGCGACGCCGCGUGAGGGGUGGAGGCCUUCGGGUUGUGAACCUCUUUCGCCAGUGAAGAAGGUCCUGCUCUUUGUGGUGGGGUUGACGGUAGCGGGGUUAAUGAAGCGCCGGCUAACUACGUG
rnacentral:rRNA from 1 species